rnacentral:rRNA from 1 species
AAAGAUUAAGCCAUGCAUGUCUAAGUAUAAGCAACUAUACGGUGAAACUGCGAAUGGCUCAUUAAAUCAGUUAUCGUUUAUUUGAUAGUACCUUACUACAUGGAUAACCGUGGUAAUUCUAGAGCUAAUACAUGCUAAAAACCUCGACUUCGGAAGGGGUGUAUUUAUUAGAUAAAAAACCAAUGCCCUUCGGGGCUCCUUGGUGAAUCAUAAUAACUUAACGAAUCGCAUGGCCUUGCGCCGGCGAUGGUUCAUUCAAAUUUCUGCCCUAUCAACUUUCGAUGGUAGGAUAGCUGGCCUACCAUGGUAU